rnacentral:sRNA from 1 species
GGAAACUGCCUUUCAGGCAUCCUCUCCCAAAACUUUUCAGCCCGGUCGGUAACGGUCGGGCUUUUUCUUGUCCUCG